rnacentral:rRNA from 1 species
AUUGAACGCUGGCGGCAGGCUUAACACAUGCAAGUCGAGCGGAGGAAGGGAGCUUGCUCCUGGAUUGAGCGGCGGACGGGUGAGUAAUGCCUAGGAAUCUGCCUGGUAGUGGGGGAUAACGUCCGGAAACGGGCGCGAAUACAGUAUACGAUCUGAGGGAGAAAGUGGGGGAGGUUUGUACCUCACGCUAUCAGAGGAGUUUAGGUCGUAUUAGCUAGUUGGUGGGGUUAAGGCCUACUAAGGCGACGAUCCGUAACUGGAUAGAGAGGAUGAUCAGGCACCCUGGAAGUGAGCCGGCGUCCAUGCUCCUGCGGGAGGCAGCAGUGUCCAAUAUUAGACAGUGGUCGGAAGCCUUGUCCAGCCGUGCGGCGCGUGUUUAGACGGUCUUCGGUUUGUAAAGAACUUUUAGUUGGUGGGAAGGUCAGUAAGUUAAUACCUUGCUGUUUUGACGUUACCAGCAGAAUAAGCACCGGCUAACUUCGUG